rnacentral:rRNA from 1 species
AGGACGAACGCUGGCGGCGUGCUUAACACAUGCAAGUCGAGCGGAAAGGCCCUUCGGGGUACUCGAGCGGCGAACGGGUGAGUAACACGUGAGCAAUCUGCCCUUAGCUUCGGGAUAGCCCCGGGAAACCGGGAUUAAUACCGAAUACGACCUCGGCCGACAUCGGCUUUGGUGGAAAGUUUUUCGGCUAGGGAUGAACUCGCGGCCUAUCAGCUUGUUGGUGGGGUAAUGGCCUACCAAGGCGACGACGGGGUAGCCGGCCUGAGAGGGCGACCGGCCACACUGGGACUGAGACACGGCCCAGACUCCUACGGGAGGCAGCAGUGGGGAAUAUGCGCAAUGGGCGAAAGCCUGACGCAGCGACGCCGCGUGGGGGAUGAAGGCCUUCGGGUUGUAAACCCCUUUCAGCAGGGACGAAGCGAGAGUGACGGUACCUGCAGAAGAAGCGCGGCUAACUACGCGCCAGCAGCCGC